AGUCCGAAACAGUCCUGUAUGUAGUUUUGUAAUGUCGGUUAAAAAGAGUUCUAUUUCGACGUCCGUAACCACAGCCAUUUGUUAGCGUUGAGAGAUGGUGACAGAAAGCUAGCCUCCCAGGUGAGGGGUGUUGGAAUGGCCCCAGCAGAUUUACCGGAGCUGUGGAAGAAACAUAUAUCUGGGGGUCAGAAGGCGUCGUACGGAAAGAAGGAAAAGAUGAAUCACUUCUAAAACAGCGGUAGAGUCUGCCUAUAUUUAAACUUAAAGACGAACUAGUCAAGGCAGUGACAGUCAACCAGGUAUUAAUCGUCAUUGGUGAGACGGGUUCAGGAAAGACAACUCAGAUCACACAGUAUCUCCAGUCUUCACGAAAACUUUUCAAACUAACUGGCCAGUCAGACCAGUGAACUUUCAAAAUUUACUGGCCCAACAAAUUUUUUACUGGCCCCUUAAUUAAAAAAUAAAAUAAUUACAUUUUCAUAACUGUAAAUCUAUACAUGUUUACGAACUUCAUUUUUUGAAAUGCUGCAAUAUUUCAUCCUUUGUCUCGUUUCGGUAAGUUGUUUGUUGGAAAUUCGCUCAUUUAACGUACAAGUUAAAAGUUACUAGCUAGUUGCGGUUGUUACGUAAUACAUCCAUGUUAUUAUAGGAUUGUAAUAAUACGAUUAAACAACACGUGCACGUGCUUCUUCUUUUUAUUUUAUAUAUCAAUUAAAUUAAUGCAAGUAAGUCACAUAAAAUGUAUAUUGACUGUGUAUGAUUUUUAUAAUCAACAAGCCCAUGGGACUUCUUGAAUUUUGAUUUUCACUGACCCGACCUCAAAAUUCACUGGGCUCGGUCUUCGGACCAGUGAGUUUUCUUGAAGACUGUAUCUCGCCGAGGCGGGUCGCCAAACGAGUCUCAGAGGAAUUUGGUUGUCGACUGGGACAGGAGGUUGGCUACACAAUUCGUUUUGAGUACUCUACGAGUCCCAAGACUAAGAUUAAAUACAUGACAGACGGUAUGAUGCUAAGGGAAUGCCUUAUUGAUGGUGAUCUAACUCAGUACAGCAUUAAAAUGUUAGACGAAGCUCAUGAGAGGACCAU